UAAGUAAUGUCCCUAGUAUACCGCCCACUGAAGUGGAAACAAGAGAGUGGACCGAGCAAAAUAGGCCUCAUGGCUUGGGCCCAGCAGUGUACAAAGCAAACGCGUUUCCAAUCCACCAGGCCGUAUCUCUUUCUCUCUGGAACCCAUAGAUAAUUUGUAGGCCCAAAUACUGAACUUGCUGGCAACGAAGGCCACGGAAGUCGCCGCGGGCGAGGGCGAAAAUGGCGGCGUGCGGCGGCGGCGAGGGGGGUCGUCGAGAAGCUGGCCGCGGAGGCCGGUUGCUCGUUAUAGCAAGGAGCCUAGCAUCACAUUCCGCGGAUCCGAACCUCCGUCCGCCGCCUCGUCGUCCCCCAGCGAACUUGCCAGACGCCAAGCACGCCGUCUCAGAGGGCACCGAGACUGCAAGCAGCAGCCAGCACCGGAAGUGAAAGUGUGAAUAAAAAUGGACGUGCUCGGCUAGUGAUCCCGUAGCCUAUAGGAUAUUUUCUGAAUUUUAACAUCUUGUACUGCUCUCAUCUGUCUGCUUCCUGGUUGCCGUUUGAGCUGUAGGCUGCUUGGUUAUUGAUUAAAUUCCUGUUGAAACUUUAUUGUUCUUUUGUUCGAGGUGUUUUUCCCCUGAACCUGUAGUCAUUUGAAAGGUCUAUGUCUAAUUUUACAAGCUAUUUAUUUUCAUAAUUUUUGAUCCAUGAUUUGAACAUUCCAUAUCUAAAAUUUCAAGUCAUUCAUUUUCAAAUUUUGGUCCAUGAUUGAUAUGAGGAUGUGGAGACAGUCCAUGUCCACUGUUGGGGGAGGUUCAAACAUUUCAUAAAUUUGGAUGCAUUUUACUUUCCUUUUUUUUCACUCUUAUGGGAAAGAAGUGCAGAACCAAAUGGAGACUUCAAUUCUGACAGCAAAUACGGCUUUCUCUUCCAUUGUUUCAGGUGACUACAUAUAUCUACAAGAUUACAACAUAUCCUAAUCUACCUUCAGCUGUGAUCAUAGUUCUUUCAAAAGACUGCAAAUGGUGUCUUCUCGAGCUAACAGGAUAUUGUGUGCAUCUCUCAUCAUCAUUCAGUCAUUGGAUCUGCACUCCGCAUGCAAACAGAUUGUCAAAACAGCAAUGCCUAAGGUUCAAUCUCCAAACGCAUCCAUUGGGAUUCAUGUAAAUAUCUCAAGCAAGAAUAUGAUCAGACUAUAUACAUCACUAGUCGCUAAGAUCUCAGAGCAUUCCCCCAUAUGCUACAAAAUGUGCAACAACUGAUCUUAGAGUUCAUCUAUACCAUGGAGCAAACUACAGGGAAACAACACAUUUCUUUUAUUUGUUUUAUGUACUGUUGGGAACAUUUUACAUAAUCAAUAUAAUCCACUUGCAUAAAUCUGAUGUAAAGAAUUGCAGAUUGUUAAAUGUUAAUUACAGAAUAAUAGAGUUGAAGCGUUGCAAAUUACCGCAGAAUUGUUGCUACUACUCCAUGUUCUACCGCAAAGGUCUGCCAAACAUAAGGGUUUGACUUGCUCUUUUGGGAAGGAUUCUUGAUAUGCCGAAGUCUCCAACUCUGGCACUCAUGUCUUCUGCAAGAAGGAUGUUGCUUGGCUUGAGAUCGCAAUGAAUGAUUGAUGGCUGGCA